rnacentral:rRNA from 1 species
GACAUGCGGCAUCUAUCAUGCAGUCGAGCGAAUGGAUUAAGAGCUUGCUCUUAUGAAGUUAGCGGCGGACGGGUGAGUAACACGUGGGUAACCUGCCCAUAAGACUGGGAUAACUCCGGGAAACCGGGGCUAAUACCGGAUAACAUUUUGAACCGCAUGGUUCGAAAUUGAAAGGCGGCUUCGGCUGUCACUUAUGGAUGGACCCGCGUCGCAUUAGCUAGUUGGUGAGGUAACGGCUCACCAAGGCAACGAUGCGUAGCCGACCUGAGAGGGUGAUCGGCCACACUGGGACUGAGACACGGCCCAGACUCCUACGGGAGGCAGCAGUAGGGAAUCUUCCGCAAUGGACGAAAGUCUGACGGAGCAACGCCGCGUGAGUGAUGAAGGCUUUCGGGUCGUAAAACUCUGUUGUUAGGGAAAAACAAGUGCUUGUUGAAAAGCUGGCACCUUGACGGUACCUAACCAGAAAGCCACGGGUAACUACGUGCCAGCAGCCGCGGUAAUACGUAGGUGGCAAGCGUUAUCCGGAAUUAGUGGGCGUAAAGCGCGCGAAAGGGGUUUCUUAAGUCUGAAUGAAAAGCCCACGGCUCACCCGUGGGAGGGGCAUUGGGAUAUUGGGAAAUUUUUGUGCA